UAGCUACAGGCUUAACACAUGCAAGUCGAGGGGCAGCAUUUCAGUUUGCUUGCAAACUGGAGAUGGCGACCGGCGCACGGGUGAGUAACACGUAUCCAACCUGCCGAUAACUCGGGGAUAGCCUUUCGAAAGAAAGAUUAAUACCCGAUGGUAUAAUCAGACCGCAUGGUCUUGUUAUUAAAGAAUUUCGGUUAUCGAUGGGGAUGCGUUCCAUUAGGCAGUUGGUGAGGUAACGGCUCACCAAACCUUCGAUGGAUAGGGGUUCUGAGAGGAAGGUCCCCCACAUUGGAACUGAGACACGGUCCAAACUCCUACGGGAGGCAGCAGUGAGGAAUAUUGGUCAAUGGGCGAGAGCCUGAACCAGCCAAGUAGCGUGAAGGAUGACUGCCCUAUGGGUUGUAAACUUCUUUUAUAAAGGAAUAAAGUUUUCCACGUGUGGAAUUUUGUAUGUACCAUAUGAAUAAGGAUCGGCUAACUCCGUGCCAGCAGCCGCGGUAAUACGGAGGAUCCGAGCGUUAUCCGGAUUUAUUGGGUUUAAAGGGAGCGUAGGUGGACAGUUAAGUCAGUUGUGAAAGUUUGCGGCUCAACCGUAAAAUUGCAGUUGAUACUGGCUGUCUUGAGUACAGUAGAGGUGGGCGGAAUUCGUGGUGUAGCGGUGAAAUGCUUAGAUAUCACGAAGAACUCCGAUUGCGAAGGCAGCUCACUGGACUGCAACUGACACUGAUGCUCGAAAGUGUGGGUAUCAAACAGGAUUAGAUACCCUGGUAGUCCACACAGUAAACGAUGAAUACUCGCUGUUUGCGAUAUACAGUAAGCGGCCAAGCGAAAGCAUUAAGUAUUCCACCUGGGGAGUACGCCGGCAACGGUGAAACUCAAAGGAAUUGACGGGGGCCCGCACAAGCGGAGGAACAUGUGGUUUAAUUCGAUGAUACGCGAGGAACCUUACCCGGGCUUAAAUUGCAUUUGAAUAUAUUGGAAACAGUAUAGCCGUAAGGCAAAUGUGAAGGUGCUGCAUGGUUGUCGUCAGCUCGUGCCGUGAGGUGUCGGCUUAAGUGCCAUAACGAGCGCAACCCUUAUCUUUAGUUACUAACAGGUCAUGCUGAGGACUCUAGAGAGACUGCCGUCGUAAGAUGUGAGGAAGGUGGGGAUGACGUCAAAUCAGCACGGCCCUUACGUCCGGGGCUACACACGUGUUACAAUGGGGGGUACAGAAGGCAGCUACCUGGUGACAGGAUGCUAAUCCCAAAAGCCUCUCUCAGUUCGGAUCGAAGUCUGCAACCCGACUUCGUGAAGCUGGAUUCGCUAGUAAUCGCGCAUCAGCCAUGGCGCGGUGAAUACGUUCCCGGGCCUUGUACACACCGCCCGUCAAGCCAUGAAAGCCGGGGGUACCUGAAGUACGUAACCGCAAGGAGCGUCCUAGGGUAAAACUGGUAAUUG
rnacentral:rRNA from 1 species